rnacentral:rRNA from 1 species
CGAAGGGGCGUAGCGUUGCUCGGAAUUACUGGGCGUAAAGGGCGCGUAGGCGGCUCUGUUAGUCAGGCGUGAAAUUCCUGGGCUCAACCUGGGGACUGCGCUUGAUACGGCGGGGCUUGAGGAUGGAAGAGGGUCGCGGAAUUCCCAGUGUAGAGGUGAAAUUCGUAGAUAUUGGGAAGAACACCGGUGGCGAAGGCGGCGACCUGGUCCAUUACUGACGCUGAGGCGCGACAGCGUGGGGAGCAAACAGGAUU